rnacentral:tRNA from 1 species
UCCUUGAUAGCACAGUUGGUAAAGAACCCACCUGCAAUGUGGGAGACCUAGGUUCGAUCCCUGGCUUUGGAA